CGCUAUCACUCCUACGGGAGGCAGCAGUGGGGAAUCUUGGACAAUGGGGGCAACCCUGAUCCAGCCAUGCCGCGUGAGUGAUGAAGGCCUUAGGGUCGUAAAGCUCUUUCGCCUGUGAUGAUAAUGACAGUAGCAGGUAAAGAAAACCCCGGCUAACUCCGUGCCAGCAGCCGCGGUAAUACGGAGGGGUUAGCGUUGUUCGGAAUUACUGGGCGUAAAGCGCGCGUAGGCGGAUUAGUAAGUCAGAGGUGAAAUCCCCGGGGCUCAACCCCGGAACUGCCUUUGAUACUGCUAGUCUUGAGUUCGAGAGAGGUGAGUGGAAUUCCGAGUGUAGAGGUGAAAUUCGUAGAUAUUCGGAGGAACACCAGUGGCGAAGGCGGCUCACUGGCUCGAUACUGACGCUGAGGUGCGAAAGUGUGGGGAGCAAACAGGAUUAGAUACCCUGGUAG
rnacentral:rRNA from 1 species